rnacentral:rRNA from 1 species
UGGGGAAUUUUGGACAAUGGGGGAAACCCUGAUCCAGCCAUCCCGCGUGUGCGAUGAAGGCCUUCGGGUUGUAAAGCACUUUUGGCAGGAAAGAAACGUCGCGGGUUAAUACCCCGCGAAACUGACGGUACCUGCAGAAUAAGCACCGGCUAACUACGUGCCAGCAGCCGCGGUAAUACGUAGGGUGCAAGCGUUAAUCGGAAUUACUGGGCGUAAAGCGUGCGCAGGCGGUUCGGAAAGAAAGAUGUGAAAUCCCAGAGCUUAACUUUGGAACUGCAUUUUUAACUACCGGGUUAGAGUGUGUCAGAGGGAGGUGGAAUUCCGCGUGUAGCAGUGAAAUGCGUAGAUAUGCGGAGGAACACCGAUGGCGAAGGCAGCCUCCUGGGAUAACACUGACGCUCAUGCACGAAAGCGUGGGGAGCAAACAGGAUUAGAUACCCUGGUAGUCCACGCCCUAAACGAUGUCAACUAGCUGUUGGGGCCUUCGGGCCUUGGUAGCGCAGCUAACGCGUGAAGUUGACCGCCUGGGGAGUACGGUCGCAAGAUUAAAACUC